UGGGGUUAUACAAUAAAUAUUUAAUUUUUUGUUAAACAGGAACCGUAAACCGGCUUAAAGUUUUCGGAAACCAAGAGAAAAGAAAAAAAACAGAUAACCAAACAAAAAUCGAGCUAAAUUGUUGAGUUGGACCAAAACGGUUCAAAUCGAACCGGAAUGGCCCAGAACUCUCUAGACCCAUCUUCCCCUCUCUUUUUCUCUCUUCUUCUCUUCUUCUUAGCGCACGCAAGGAGCAGUGCCGCUUCUCCCUCCCUCUCCUCGUUUCCGGCCACGCUCAACGAAGGCUAGGUGGCGGUCGGCUCGUCUGGUGCUGGUGGUCGUGUCUCCAGCCUCCUCUCGCGCGGAAAGAGCGUCAAUGGGAGCGAAACGGAGUUGUUGCCCUCGACAGCUCGUGCUCACCAAAUUCCGGCGAUCCACACCAUUUCCGGCAGCUUCAAGGCGAGGGACAUGCUUCAAUCGACUCCUCUCUUCCCAGCGAGUCUCUUUCUCCCAUCAGUUUCGGCGACAAAGCUUGCCUGACGAAAACGCCAUGAACGGCGGUGGCGAAGCCACUGUCAGGGUCAUUUUCGGCGAAACAAGGCUCACCCAGUCCAAAUUGAUCACGGAUCCGGAGUCCCCGUGAGAUUCCAAGUAUUGUAAAAUUCUGGGCAAAAGUCAGUUUUCCAACUGAUGCCUUUUUUUUAAAUAAAAUGAAAUAAAAUAAAAUGAUCCUUUUUUUUAA